AACGAACGCUGGCGGCGUGCUUAACACAUGCAAGUCGAACGGAAAGGCCCUGCUUUUGUGGGGUGCUCGAGUGGCGAACGGGUGCGUAACACGUGAGUAACCUGCCCUUGACUUUGGGAUAACUUCAGGAAACUGGGGCUAAUACCGGAUAGGAGCUCCUGCUGCAUUGUGGGGGUUGGAACGUUUCGGCGGUUGGGGAUGGACUCGCGGCUUAUCAGCUUGUUGGUGGGGUAGUGGCUUCCCAAGGGUUUGACGGGUAGCCGGCCUGAGAGGGUGACCGGGCACAAUGGUACUGAGAGACGGCCCAGACUCCUACGGGAGGCAGCAGUGGGGAAUAUUGUACAAUGGGCGGAAGCCUGAGGCAGCAACGCCGCGUGCGGGAUGACGGCCUGUGGGUUGUAAACCGCUUUCGCCUGAGACGAAGCGUGAGUGACGGUAAUGGGUAAAGAAGCACCGGCUAACUACGUG
rnacentral:rRNA from 1 species